rnacentral:lncRNA from 1 species
UGGAGGAUUAGUUGUUUGGAGUGUGGUUACGGAGUUUCUCAACCCACACUUUUUCAACGUUGGUAACCAUUAAGAAAAGACAUAGAAUACUCAAUUCUGUUCACUCAAAUUUGGUAGAUUCCGGGAGUGAGUUUCUUACCCCAACAUUAGUGUUACAAUGCACACCAGUUUAACUGUAGUUAGCUACUUUCAUUCAGGGCUCUUGUUAGCAUCUUAUAGUAAAGGCGUGGAUGAGGAGGGGGGAAAAUAAAGCUUUGACAGAUGGUACUCAGCGUUUGACUCCUGCUGAGCUCAGCAGGACCUGUGGUUUCCAAGGUUAGGGCUGUCAAAAUGGCUCUGUCUAUCAAGUGAAUAACAAAGUGUAGACUGCCUGUCUGUUUCCUAUACAAAACUUAGAUUUCAUUUGCCAUUAUUGUCGGCCUUUCUGCUGAUUUAAUAACUUCUAAGGAGAAGAACUAGGGGUUCUGAUGCAGCCUCACUAUUUAAGAAACUACUUGGAAAGGGAAUUCUCAAGGGCUGAAAGAGGUAGGCCGCGAUCUGAUCUCUUUCUCUUUGGUUUCUCUCUAAGGCUUCAAGACUUAAAAAGGAUUCAAAAGACACCAAAGGUUCACUUUUGGCUAAAAGCUAAAUGUGAACCUUUCAAAAUGAACUCAUUGCUGUCUUCCUCUCAAAAGGCCUUCAGAUGGUCAGAUAAAGUACCUGAUGCUGAAAAACAGGAAAUUGAAUCAUGUCUCCAAAAUGUGCUUUUUGUCAUGCACUGUUACAGCUAUAUUUCUUGA